rnacentral:rRNA from 1 species
CCUACGGGUGGCAGCAGUGAGGAAUAUUGGUCAAUGGACGAGAGUCUGAACCAGCCAAGUAGCGUGAAGGAUGACUGCCCUACGGGUUGUAAACUUCUUUUAUAUGGGAAUAAAAUGUUCCACGUGUGGGAUUUUGUAUGUACCAUAUGAAUAAGGAUCGGCUAACUCCGUGCCAGCAGCCGCGGUAAUACGGAGGAUCCGAGCGUUAUCCGGAUUUAUUGGGUUUAAAGGGAGCGUAGGUGGAUUGUUAAGUCAGUUGUGAAAGUUUGCGGCUCAACCGUAAAAUUGCAGUUGAAACUGGCAGUCUUGAGUACAGUAGAGGUGGGCGGAAGUCGUGGUGUAGCGGUGAAAUGCUUAGAUAUCACGAAGAACUCCGAUUGCGAAGGCAGUUCACUGGACUGCAACUGACACUGAGGCUCGAAAGUGUGGGUAUCAAACAGGAUUAGAUACCCGAGUAGUC